UGCCAGACUCCUACGGGAGGCAGCAGUGGGGAAUAUUGGACAAUGGGGGGAACCCUGAUCCAGCGACGCCGCGUGAGUGAAGAAGUAUUUCGGUAUGUAAAGCUCUAUCAGCAGGGAAGAAAGAAAUGACGGUACCUGACUAAGAAGCCCCGGCUAACUACGUGCCAGCAGCCGCGGUAAUACGUAGGGGGCAAGCGUUAUCCGGAUUUACUGGGUGUAAAGGGAGCGUAGACGGCGAUGCAAGUCUGAAGUGAAAGGCGGGGGCCCAACCCCCGGACUGCUUUGGAAACUGUAUGGCUGGAGUGCGGGAGGGGCAGGCGGAAUUCCUGGUGUAGCGGUGAAAUGCGUAGAUAUCAGGAGGAACACCGGUGGCGAAGGCGGCCUGCUGGACUGCAACUGACGUUGAGGCCCGAAAGCGUGGGGAGCAAACAGGAUUAGAUACCCGGGUA
rnacentral:rRNA from 1 species